CUUGGUCAUUUAGAGGAAGUAAAAGUCGUAACAAGGUUUCCGUAGGUGAACCUGCGGAAGGAUCAUUAACGAACAAAAGAUUGUAGCUGGCUAUUAGUAACAAUAGCAUCGUGCACGUCUUUAAUCUCAUCCAACACACACUAGUGAACCCUAUUGUAGAUCCGCAACGAUCUAUGUCUUUCAUCACUUAUUUUAAACGUAUGUUUUAGAAUGUAAACCCAAAUUAUUACAACUUUCAGCAAUGGAUCUCUUGGUUCUCGCAUCGAUGAAGAACGCAGCGAAUUGCGAUAAGUAAUGUGAAUUGCAGAUUUUCAGUGAAUCAUCGAAUCUUUGAACGCACCUUGCGCUCCUUGGUAUUCCGAGGAGCAUGCCUGUUUGAGUGUCAUUUAAUUAUCAAUCUACUGGAUUGGAGUUGGGAAUUGCUGGCUUUGAUUAGUCGGCUGUCCUUAAAAGCAUUAGCAAGCGAUAAGUAGUCAUUCACUACGUGCACGGCCUCUGACGUGAUAAUGAUCGUUGUGGGCUGGAAGCGUUAUGGAAUGGUCGAAAAGCUUGCUUCGAAAACCUAUGAUUAGUGAAGGUUCUAUGUGAAUAGUGUAUGGUAUAGUAAGCUGGAAGCAUAGUAUGGAAGCUCGAAAGAGUGAAAGUGCUAUGUGCAUACGGCUGAGGGUACAUAAGCUGGAAGCAUAGUAUUGAAGCUAGUCAAACAAAGAGAUGGAACGAGUGGAAUAUUUCUAUGUGGAUAUGGCUAGUUGUAGGCUAUGGAAGCAGGGAUAGUAUUGGAAGCUCAAAGUGGAAAUUGGCUAUGAUUUCGGACGGGAAGCCUCGAGGGAAAGUGCCAAUUUAAUUAUUGGUGUGGAAGCUUGAGGUGAAAGAUUGAAAAGAUUGGUUAAUGAAAGCUAGAGUGGAAUAGUGCUAUCAUGUGAAUAUGGCUUAUGUAGGCUGUUGAAGGAUAGUAAAUUGAAAGCUAGUGUUUUGUUUCGAAUUGAAAUUGACCUCAAAUCAGUAGGACUACCCGCUGAACUUAAGCAUAUCAAUAAGCGGAGGA
rnacentral:rRNA from 1 species